ACUGGGCAUGGUGGCGCAUGCCUGUAAUCCCAGCUACUCAGGAGGCUGAGGCAGGAGAAUCGCUUGAACCCAGGAGGCAGAGGUUGAAGUGAGCUGAGGUCGCGCCACUGCACUCCAGCCUGGGUAACAGAGCGAGACUCUGUCUCAA
ensembl:misc_RNA Metazoa_SRP Metazoan signal recognition particle RNA